UCAAAUUUUUAUUUUUUUCUAUUAGGCAAAUGAGCCUAAAAAUGAUAUAUAAACUGUUGUCAAACUAUUUGGUCUCAACUAUAAAUCCCUACCUAAAUACUGUCAUAAUAUCUUAAAUAAUGCAAGUAUUUAAAUUUGCAUUAGGUAUAGGCACUUUGAUUUCAACAAAUAAAAGUGCCUUAAUCAAAUGCAAAUUUCCAUGAUUUUGUAUAAUAAUUGUUGUCAAGCUAUUAGGCUUCAAUUGUAAAUCCGUAAUUAAAUCCUUGCAUACUAUGAUUCUGAACUAAUACUAUUCUUUCACACCAAUUUUAUUUUAUUUUUUCUGUAUACUUAUAGCUAAAAACUGUUUUUAGAUAAACUAUUGACUUUGAAUGUAUAACACAUGUACUAACUUUAGUUAAAUAAAUUGGAUUAAAUGUUCCACAGAUACUAUUGAUAAAACACUAAGUUAGGAAAUCAUGACUCCAGCUUAGAUUUGUAACUAAUGGUCAUUAGUGUACUAAAAAACUAAUCUAGAACCUUUUGAAAAAGCUGAAAUACUACAUGUCAUCACUCCAGCUUAGAUCUGUAACCUUUUGCCAUUUUGUGACUGAAAUCUAUUUACUAAUUGGGUAAAUUCAGUACUGUAUUGUAAUUUUAUUUGAUCAUGCCAACUUAACUUAUUAAUACUUCUAUUUUUACUUCAUAAGUUGUAUUUUAGAACACACAUAGACAACCUUUUUUAAAUAAGUAGCCAGAUAUUGAUAGAUUAUAUUUGCAGUUGUUUUCAGAUACAAAGAGACUUGGAUCUGGAUCUGGAUCUGAGUAUAACAAAAGAGUUGGCAUCAAAUAUCAAGCAAGGCUGAAUAACCUAACUCGAAUGGCCUUCCUAUUGCACAAUGGAGUGAGCUGAGAAGCAAGAACAAACUGACCAGCCAUCAAAGAAGAAGAGCUUGUGAUUCGAAUAGACUAAUAUUGAAAGUUUGCAAUGUGCAAUUGCUUGUAUAAACAGGUGUAUUUAUACUGAAAGCCAUCACUGAUGCUGUGUAAGUAAUCAUCACAGCUGAGUGAAAAAAGAAGAAGAGCUGAUAGUUCCAAGACCUGGUAGCCGGCUGAGGGAGAUAAUGCAGAGUCGCAGCAGCAGAAUACUUAUAGAAAGAGAAAAAUUAGAAGAUUAGAGGAUUAGCUUAGUAGAUAAAACCUAGAUUUCUAAUUCAAAUAUAAUACGUUUCCUCUAGGACAGGAAUCGGGAAAAGAAACUCUUCCCCAAAACCAAUCUUUUGAAUUAUUAUCCUAUAAAAUAGGAUUCCCAAACCAACAAAAACACUCAUGCCCACUAAAAUAGCUAUAAAAAAGUAGGUAAAAAAUAGUUAGAAUAACACGUUUCCUCUAAGACAUUAAUCGGGAAACGAAUUCCAUCCCUAAAACCAAUCAAAUGAAUUAUUAUCCUCUAAAAUAGGAUUCCAAAACCAACAAAAACACUCAUACUAUCUAAAAUAGCUAUAAAAAAAA